GUGCUACAAUGNCCGGUACAGAGANCANCCNCUGGGCGACCAGGAGCGAAUCUAUNAANCCGGUNACAGUUNGGAUCGGAGUCUNCAACUCGACUCCGUGAAGCUGGAAUCGCUAGUAAUCGGAUAUCAGCAUGAUCCGGUGAAUACGUUCCCGGGCCUUGUACACACCGCCCGUCAAGCCAUGGAAGCUGGGGGUGCCUGAAGUCAGUGACCGCAAGGANCUGCCUAGGGUAAAACUGGUAACUAGGGCUAAGUCGUAACAAGGUAACC
rnacentral:rRNA from 1 species